UCAAAAUUUAGUUGAUAGGCCAUUACUGUCCACCGAUGGAGAACUGCUCUCAGCUCUCAUCAUUUCCUUCACUCAACUUUUGAACUAAAACGACGUCAAAGGAUUGCAAAACCCUGGCACCCAGGUAUAGACAUGAAAAGGUGAACAGAACCUAUUUUACGGGUCAGAAUGUGGCAACCUAUGCUUAAAAUCCACCCCAUCACCUUCACUUACUGGAAUAAGAAGAAGGAGAAGAAGAAGAGUAAAGAGGCCCCAAAGGGCCAAAAGGAAAAAGGCAAAGGUAAUAAAAAGACACCCAAAGAGGAUUAAAGGUCAUAGGACAGAAGAAGAGUACAAAGUCCAAAUAAGAAGCAAAAGUUGCUCAACUUUAAUGCCUGCAUGGGGCUCAAAAUUCAAGAUAGCCUUAUUUUAUUUUCUGAAAUUGAUAAAUGGGUCCCUUUUUUUUUUUUUCUUUUCCCUUUCGGAUGCUCUGUUCUUUGUGUGGGACAUAUCCCCUUCAUCACUCUUUAUUCAUUCUCACGAGUCAUUGCCUACCCUCCCCUUCUCUGCCAUCCACACUACAAAUGUUUUCAUUUUCAAUCCACCCUCUGCCCAUUUCUUUUCUCAGUUACGAGUCCAUGUCUUUACGUUACCCAAUAAAACAACUAUUUAAUUAA